GUAGAAGGAAAUAUUGUUUUUACUAGAGGUCUCGGGCUCGAGCAGCUACGGCUGUAGGAUGGAUAUGUGUUGUCAAUAGUUAAGAAAGGUACUGCAAUGGAAGAAGAAAACGAAGAUGGUUGUGUUGUUUUUUGUCACAAGUUUAAAGCAUAAUAUCUCUUUUUCUUUUGCUUGGGGACGCAAGAUUUUAUGUUUGGAGAUAGCCUUCUGAAAAAGGGUGCUUCACUCCCGGUGCUUGGUGUUCCGGCAAGUUGACAUGCACGGAAGUUAGAGACUCGAACAAGAUCAGGCCAGGUCCGGGAGCCUAGAGGCUUAACCAACUUGUAACUAGGUUAGUCAUGAAAGCAAUAACGGUCAAGACCAGUGUAAAUAGUUUAAAGCAGCAGCUCAAUUGAUGAGGCAUACAACAGCUGAAGCAUUAGCAUCUAAUAGAGAGAAUUUUAGUAACAGCACUGCUCAUUUGACCUAAUCUUAGCUUCUGGUAAACUAAUCCAAGUUCGAGUUCAGAUUAUCAUGUUCGGGUCAACACCAACGAGCGAAUUCAGUGCCUCGAAGGUCGAAAUAUUUGUAAAUAGCUUCAUCAAGAAAUGGCAGACAGUGAAGGAUCAGGAAAUCAAAUAUACUUGCUGAAAAAUGACUAUGAACUAUAAGGCAUUACAAAAUAUACAAGAUGAUUGUCCUUUGUUAUUUGUUCUUUUGAAUCUUAUCUACAUAUAUUUUAUGAAGUCAUUCUCAAAUCUCCAUGUUAAUUGCAUCUGUUAUCAUCUACAGACAAAAAUGUUUUCAUCUUUUGUUUUUUUUUUGGCUCAAAUGCUAUACUCUUUUAUACU